GAUGAACGCUGGCGGCGUGCCUAAUACAUGCAAGUCGAGCGAACAGACGAGGAGCUUGCUCCUCUGACGUUAGCGGCGGACGGGUGAGUAACACGUGGAUAACCUACCUAUAAGACUGGGAUAACUUCGGGAAACCGGAGCUAAUACCGGAUAAUAUAUUGAACCGCAUGGUUCAAUAGUGAAAGACGGUUUUGCUGUCACUUAUAGAUGGAUCCGCGCCGCAUUAGCUAGUUGGUAAGGUAACGGCUUACCAAGGCGACGAUGCGUAGCUGACCUGAGAGAGUGAUCGGCCACACUGGAACUGAGACACGGUCCAGACUCCUACGGGAGGCAGCAGUAGGGAAUCUUCCGCAAUGGGCGAAAGCCUGACGGAGCAACGCCGCGUGAGUGAUGAAGGUCUUCGGAUCGUAAAACUCUGUUAUUAGGGAAGAACAAAUGUGUAAGUAACUAUGCACGUCUUGACGGUACCUAAUCAGAAAGCCACGGCUAACUACGUG
rnacentral:rRNA from 1 species